UGCAGUAGCACUACUAACCACAAAUCUGGCACGAGCUUGUUGGGACAUUCAAAGUGGCAGCACUUUGGACGUUAAUAUGAUUAAACUGUGUACAAAUCAAUUAGUUUUCCUUUUGCUCCCAUGCUAGGUGGCAGAGCCUGUUCAUUGCACGCUGGUGGAUGGAGACGCCACAUCCAAGGUCACACGAAGUGUGUGAUGGCCAUGAGGCCUUGGCUUUACAGUUUGACCUCAGGGGUGCUGGCCACUUCUGCAGAGCCCCAGCACCACGGAGCACUCACCCUGCCUGAAAAGCAACUUACCCAUCAGCAAAAAUCCUAGAAAUGAGCCCAAGCCACUUCUGAAUAUCUGCAUGAGAUAUUUGAGUCUUGGACCAGCUUCAUAAAAGGUAGGGAUUUCAAAAUAACAAAACAAAACCCGUGAAAAUUAUCCAAUCCAUGAAAAAUAUGCAGCCUCAGCAACGUGGAAUCACACAGCUAUACUGUACUGGCGCAUAAGUGACUGCAAGCCCUAUCUUGGGGUGUUCCCUAACAAAAGGGCCAGUGCCCGGGGAGCAGCCACGCGCGGCACACCCUGAGGUCAAGGGGAGCCCUGUGUACUGAGCACAAGCAGGAUCAAGCUCUGUUUUUCCAUGAUGUUUAACACAAACAGGUAACAUGAUGGUUUCUUUGCACUCUUUGUAGCUCGAUUUUUUUAAUUCUGUUUUUCUGCAAAUCACCUUUUAUUAUUGAUUUUUUUGGUCUUUUAUUAUUGAAUAUUAAAACAUGGAGGAAUUGGUUAUGCAAUCUUUUCUACCCCUUGUGGGGGCAGUUAGGCACUUGCAUUUAAAUAAUGAUUUGUAUUUACACGCUAAUCUGAUGUUGUGAAUUCACCAUUUUCGUAAAGCUAGGCAGAUUCCCUAACAUCUUGCGAUGGUAAACAUCUAGACCUACCACUUAUCCAGUAACAAGCAAGUGUAUUUGCAGUAGAUUGUAAAGAAUAAAAACAAACUAAUGUAUAUUUUUCA
rnacentral:lncRNA from 1 species